rnacentral:rRNA from 1 species
CGAACGCUGGCGGCAGGCCUAAUACAUGCAAGUCGAACGGCUCUUCGGAGCAGUGGCGGACGGGUGAGUAACGCGUGGGAAUGUGCCCUUAGGUACGGAACAACACAGGGAAACUUGUGCUAAUACCGUAUGUGCCCUUCGGGGGAAAGAUUUAUCGCCUUUGGAGCAGCCCGCGUUGGAUUAGGUAGUUGGUGAGGUAAAGGCUCACCAAGCCGACGAUCCAUAGCUGGUCUGAGAGGAUGACCAGCCACACUGGGACUGAGACACGGCCCAGACUACUGCGGGAGGCAGCAGUAGGGAAUUUUGCGCAAUGGGCGAAAGCCUGACGCAGCCAUGCCGCGUGUAUGAUGAAGGUCUUAGGAUUGUAAAAUACUUUCACCGGGGAAGAUAAUGACGGUACCCGGAGAAGAAGCCCCGGCUAACUUCGUGCCAGCCGCCGCCGUAAUAC